UACGGAGGGUGCAAGCGUUGUCCGGAAUUAUUGGGCGUAAAGAGCUUGUAGGCGGUUUGUCGCGUCUGCUGUGAAAUUUCGGGGCUCAACCCCGAACUUGCAGUGGGUACGGGCAGACUAGAGGUAGGUAGGGGAGAAUGGAAUUCCCGGUGUAGCGGUGAAAUGCGCAGAUAUCGGGAGGAACACCGGUGGCGAAGGCGGUUCUCUGGGCCUUACCUGACGCUGAGGAGCGAAAGCGUGGGGAGCGAACAGG
rnacentral:rRNA from 1 species